rnacentral:rRNA from 1 species
GCGAAUGCUGACAUGAGUAACGAUAAUGGGAGUGAAAAACUCCCACGCCGGAAGACCAAGGUUUCCUGUCCCAUGCUAAUCAGGGCAGGGUAAGUCGGCCCCUAAGGCGAGGCAGAAAUGCGUAGUCGAUGGGAAACGGGUUAAUAUUCCCGUACUUAUAUAAUCAGUGAUGGAGGGACGGAGAAGGCUAGGCAAGCUUGGCGUUGGUUGUCCAAGUGAAA